rfam:Callipepla squamata strain Texas jcf7180005234157, whole genome shotgun sequence.
CCAAAGGCUCUUUUCAGAGCCACCCACUUACGCACGGAGAGAGCUG